CAUAUAUACAUUCCUUGGAAGCUGAACAAAAUGAGUGAAAACUCUAUACCGUCAUCCUCGUCGAACUGA
rnacentral:snoRNA from 1 species